AAAGCAGAUCGCCUUAUCGCUGUUCGUUUUAAACGAAGGGAGGAAAGUCCGGACACCAUAGUGUAUUAUAGUGGCUAACGGCCACCAGUCGUAAGGCUAGGAAAAGUGCAACAGAAAGAAUGUACAGGUUAAGCUGUAGUGAAACCAGGUAAACUCUAUAAGGUGCAAUGUCAUGUAUAUCAGUGCUUGAGCGCGACACGUGCGAUGCUGAAGGGUAGGCAGCUAAAGUUUACUGGCAACAGUAAACGUAGAUAAAUGAUAAGGGUCACAUUUUGUGUGAUACAGGAUCCGGCUUAUAGAUCUGCUUUUUUU
rfam:Formosa sp. Hel1_33_131, complete genome.